rfam:Triticum aestivum genome assembly, contig: Triticum_aestivum_CS42_TGACv1_scaffold_500600_6BL
GUUAUACUCCUUCUGUCUGGAAUUACUUGUCAUAGAAAUGGAUGAAUCUAGACGUAUUUUAGUUCUAGAUACAUCUAUUUUUAUCCAUUUCUACAACAAAUAAUUCGGGGCGGAGGGAGUAUUUU